rnacentral:lncRNA from 1 species
AAUGGCAGCCAAAGACAAUUAUUAUUAUUAUUAAUAUUACUAUUAGUAGUGAUACAUAAAAAGACUAUUAUGACAUAUACUAUCUGAGUCUAAUGAAUGCAUUGCAUUAAAAUUGUAAAAUGUGGCCUAUUUAUUUUUAAACUAAUUAUUAAUUAAUUAUUUUUUAUUUUAAUUGAUCACAAAUUAUUUUUAUUUUUAAAUUAUUUCAGUUUUACAUUCAUUUUUAUUAGCUGAUGUUUGUAAAUCAACUACGAUGCAACAAUGCCUGACAUGCCAGUCAGAGUUGAAAUCAUGAAUAUUCGCUGGCUUUAAUAAUCAAAGUCAAACGCUGAUCUGUGGUGUUCAAGUCUCGAUGGCACUAAAGCCAGGCAAACAUUCCUGCGAUAUCGACACGUUCACAUGUUUCCUGAGCCGCGGCUCUCAAUAGAUCACGAGCACGUCAGCACCGGUAAUGCUGUCGACGGCCGUCACCGAGCGCAGGAUCACCGCCGCUCCUCCGGUCCUCGCCGUCACAGAUGGUGAAGGUCGCUCGCGGGACGUCCCGAGUCAGACGGAGAUGAUGCUCAUCUACCAAUCAGCGGCCUGGAUUCUGGCCGGGAUCCUGCUGGCUGUGGUCAUCUUCCUCCUGGUGGCCGUCCUGGUGAACCGCAGGAAGAACUGGGUUCAGAUGUCCUGCUACGGCGCGCCCAAGAAGACGGUGAUCCUGCAGAAACACGUGAAUAAGAGUUCACUCGUCUACAUGGAGCCGUCCAGAGAGAACCAGUUCCAGAGCGUGAAGAGCGACGCCAGCGGAGAGCAAGUCUCCAUCCCGCGCGCUAAACUCUCCAGCGGACGCGUCCAGCGCUAGCGUCCGUCUCACAGCUCGUCUUCAGAGGCCAGAGACUCCACCGAACGCUGGCGACUCCUGGAGCUUCGGCCUCCAGCGCAAGAGGAACCAAGUACUGUGAACCUGCUUUAUUAGUGUUUGUAUGAUGUUCGGAGCGACACUUUGACGGACGUGGAGCAGUUCGGCGUCAAAGCAAACGUUCAGGAAGCAGACGGAGCUUCUGACCGCUCAGAGACAUCGGUGAGAUCCACACACACCACAGUAAAGAGAUCUGCAUCGGGACAGACGUGUUUCCUGACCUCUCCACUCUGUGUAUUCCUUUCUAUACCUUCAAGUGUUUUACUUGUAGUUUGUUGUUAGUCGCUUGUAAGGCCGGAAUAAACAUUCCCCACAUUCAGAACCAACUGGACUUUUUAUAUCUUUUUGAACAUAAUAUAUAGAUGAAUAUACAUAUAUAUGGUAAAUAUAAGAUGUAUUAAAUAUUUAUAAUAAAUAUAUAUGUAUUUACAUAAUAUAAAUAUUGUGUAUAUGGCCAUCAGUUUCACGUAUUUAUAUUUUAAAUACAUAUAUAAAAAAAUCUAUAUUAAAAAAUAAUGUUAUAUAUAAUGUCUGAGCCGCUCGCAGGGCAAUUACAGCGAAUGCAGUUGUUUGAUAAAUGUGCAAAAACCAUAAAAAUAGUAGAGGAAUGUAUCUUAUUUAUUUUUUCACAUUUAUUUAUUAAUACUAAACUCCAGUAAGUGUCUGGUUUCUGUCUGGUCUGUGAAACACAAAGCUGCUGUACAGAUUUUAUAAAGCGUCUGUCUGCUUUACAUCGGCUCUUAUUUAUUUGACCUUCGUCACAAGUCAAUAUGAUCCAACAGAUGUUCGGCUGUUACAUGUACACUUGUUUUUGAAAUAAAAAUGAAUUGUGUGACAAAUGUUUGACCUUAUAAUUGUGUUUGUGUCAUUUUGACCUGGAGAGGAUCUUCUUUUUCCUGAAAUGCCAUUAUUAUCAUAUUGGCCAUAACAAUUUAUAGCUCAUAAUCUGAUAAUUU